AAAAUAAUUAAAUUAAAAGGAAAAUUCAUCUCUUACCAUCCCCCUCUCUCUCUCCGCCGAUUCCAUUCUCUCCGUCCCUCUUUCCUAGAUUCUCUCCAACCCUCUCGAUCUCAUAUCUGGCUUUUCCCCUCUACCGAUUCUUGCUUUCCCCCUCUCCCGAUUCUCCCUCUCAAAUCUCGCUUUCCCCUUCUCCCGAUUCUCGCUUUCUCUCUCUCUCUCCAGUUUGUUCCUUUCUCUCUUUAUCAGUAAAUUUCUACCCAUUUCUUGUCUUGAAUAUGAGUUCCUUUCCAUUACUGCCCAUUUCUUUUCUCACUUUACAUUUCUUCUCUCAAUGUGUGGACCAUAACUCAAUUCAUUGAGUUGAUGCUCCUCAGACCAUUGAAGCGACUGUGUAAAUGUGCUGUUGAAAUGGGUAGUUGUGACAAGGAUGCAGGCUCAGAGACUCAUACAAAAGUGUCAAGGAAAUCCUAGCCGCUUUCAUUGUCGAUUGCCGCAAACAAAACUAUUCUAGAUGCCAUCGAGCCUUCUCUAUAUGAACUAACCAUGAGGUAGGUUCAUUCAAAUCUGUACUUUUAUGGUUCUUAUGUGAUAUAGCUGCAUAAGGCUUAAAAAAUUUUCUUCCGAGGGCACUAUUAGUUAUUUUUGUGUGAAUUUUUUGGGGUAAACAUAGCUUGAAACAUUUUCUUCUAGGUGUUUAGAAAAUAGGUUAUAUGUAUACUACUAAGUAUUAGUAAUUUAUUGUGUAUGGUAAAUAUUUUGGGCAAGCAUUAUAGUACUGUGAUUCUUGAGGGCUAUAAUAAAUGGAUAUUAAGUGGAUCUUGCCAAUUUAUGAGAACUUUACUAAUUGAUUUUUGAAGAAAAGGUAAUCCUAAUAUAAAAGUUGAUGUUGAAGAUAAUACAAUGAAGUUAAACGCCUAUACAUAAAAUUUGGAGCCAAACUUGGUAUUGUAGAUAUUCAAUAGUGAUCGCUGAAAAAAGCGUUAUUGAUUGCCUUUGCAAGUAUUAAAAGAACUGUUAAUCGGUUGGGGGUGAAUAAAGAAAUAAAAGGGGAGAAUGGAAAAUCAUGACAGAAAAAGUUGGUUGUAUCCUUUGAUAUGUGAUAUUUGGGGAUUACUGCAUCAUGUAUUGGGGCCACCAAUUUAUAGAAUCUUCUUGGUGAAUGUUUUUUUUUUAUAUAGAAAUUUACUGAACUUUGAUACUUUUGUCACAUAUAUUUGCUGUAAAAACAAUUUUUUUGUGGUUUAGUUGUGCAUUUACCUUGUUCAUAUGACUCAUAGUGCUAGAGCUUGCCCUUUAUAGUUUUAAAUGGAGAAAAAAUUUAUACAGAUUCAAGAGGUCUAUGAUGAAGCUGUUAUGGCUUCUAGAAAGGUAUUCUCCGAACAUUAUUGAUCAUGGUACGUGAUAAUUGACUCUUAGAUCUGCUAAGGAUUAUCACUUAUUGUCCUGCAAUUUGCUUGAUAGGUGAGCAAUCAUUCUAUUAUUCAUGCUUUAUGCAACCAUUUUGAAGAAGCUUAAGAAACAGCGUUCCUUGAAUAAGAUGGCCAAUGGGGUCACUUCUUUGGAGGUGUGCUUUUUCUUUUAUUCCCCAAGAAGUCUUAAGCUCCCUACUUUUAUAUCAAUUUUCUAUUCCUGAAGCUCCUUUUCCAAUAUUACACAGUACUGCAAAACCAUUUGAUCUUUUUGGGUUAUUUUAUUACGUACCUUACCAUAUUUAGCCAGAUAUUUCUUCUUAGAGCUUUGGUGAAGCUUGGAGCUACUGUUGUAACACUCUUCUUGUUGUAAAGAUAUGCGUUUUCAAGCAAUUCCAAGCAAAUGGUGCAAUGGAUUGGAUUAUCUUAAACGGGCGUUAAUUUCAGUUAUAAACUUUAUUAUACAGCGUAGUAUGCUUUUUUAUUAGAUUAUAAUUUUAGGUCAAUGUAUUAUAAUGUUUGUGAUAUUAUACACAAUUCCAUUUGUCAUAUUUUUUUCAAC